GGGUUCCACAGUUCUGUGAUCCUGUGACUUUGUGAUUCCAUGAUUCUGUCAUCAGCCACCUGUGGAUGUGCUGCUCUCUCAGCAGAAAAACAACAGGCCUACAGAGAAGCAGCUAAUAUGUUUUUACAGCUGUAGCUAUUAAAAGACACAUUCACAGCCCAAGCAGGAUCCAGCACGCAGUGAAGCCGACAAAGCCACUGAAUUAAAUGGGCCUUAGACAGCCCAUGAAGCUCUCUGGAGAUAGCAUAUAACUGGAUAUCAGAAGUAAUAUUUAACCAAGCUGAUCACAGAAAAGAAUUACACAUCUCUUCUUUGUGAUGGGCUCACUGAAAGGAAUUAAGAAUGGCAACAGGUGUUCAGAUGAAUUAAGAUCUCAAAGAAAGACUGUGGAGAACUUGCCUCAUGAACUUGUCUCAGAUGCUUAGCAGAACCUUGAGGGCCCAAAGCUAACUGGAAGAGUCAAAACAGCAAAACUAGACCAGCAGCAGACAUUGGAAGGGCUCCACCACCUCAAACCACAAGUCUGUUUCCCUGAGAAUGCCUGAAAUUAGAGGUCUGGGAGUAGGAAUAAGCCCACAGCAAAGGUCUGCUCCCUUCCAGAAGGCUCUCCUCCUGCUCUGGCUGUGCCCAGGCAAAGGCAAUGCUCACACCUGGGCAUUCAUACUGUGAUGUGUCUGUACCAUUUGCCUGGACACCCCAGCCCAGCACAGGACAGCCACAGGCACCAGCAGCCCUGCUAAGGGCAGGUCCCUCCUGGGCAGCCUCUGGCCAGCCCUGCUGUGUUUGGCUGCAUCAGACAUUAAAUCA